GUUGUAGACUGUUCGUAAUAUCGUAAAAAUUGUGUGGAUUUUGAAUGUGAUCCAUAUUGUUUUCGUGAAGUGACCUUUAAAUGAUUUGAGCAGCAUCGACAAAUAAGUUAUCCUCUCUCGAUCUGGUUGGUUCCUGGUUUUCAAAGGGUGGAGCUUGUACAGACGCGGAAUGACAUCAGGACUCUUGUCAUCAAAUACCCUGGACCUCAUCCAAAGGUCUGCACAUGCAGAGACAUUUUCAUUGGAGCACGAAGUCUCUGUGGUCUAGUGCAGCCCGCAGAGGGGGCCCCAUGUUGGAACCCCGCUGAACUCCGCGACACCCCUACUGAGCUGUCAUGAACUUGACCUGUUUUGCUUCUUCUCAUCAGGUUAGCAUAAUUUUUAAUAGCUUUUUCUUAUCGUAAUCUAUAUGUCUGUGGGCAGUGUGAUUAAAAUUCACUGGACGAAGGGCAGUAUAUAUGGAAUAAGCUCGUAAUACGGAAUACCACCAUAUUUGAGAAACAAAAUGAGACAACUCUGUAAUAAAACGCCACGUAAACGCUUGGAUUAAAUGACACAUAAGUUCAGUAGUGCUUGCUGAGGUCAGUUUUGUGCUUUGUAAGUGGCUGUAGAUGGCUUCCUUUU